rnacentral:rRNA from 1 species
GACGAACGCUGGCGGCGUGCUUAACACAUGCAAGUCGAACGGUGAAGCUCCAGCUUGCUGGAGUGGAUCAGUGGCGAACGGGUGAGUAACACGUGAGCAACCUGCCCCAGACUCUGGAAUAAGCGCUGGAAACGGCGUCUAAUACUGGAUACGAGAUCAAGCCGCAUGGUUAUGGUCUGGAAAGUUUUUCGGUUUGGGAUGGGCUCGCGGCCUAUCAGCUUGUUGGUGAGGUAAUGGCUCACCAAGGCGACGACGGGUAGCCGGCCUGAGAGGGCGACCGGCCACACUGGGACUGAGACACGGCCCAGACUCCUACGGGAGGCAGCAGUGGGGAAUAUUGCACAAUGGGCGAAAGCCUGAUGCAGCGACGCCGCGUGAGGGAUGACGGCCUUCGGGUUGUAAACCUCUUUCAGCAGGGAAGAAGCGAAAGUGACGGUACCUGCAGAAGAAGCACCGGCUAACUACGUGC